AAUUUUCUGAUGGGUUUUUAUGUCCCGUGGGACCCACCCACAUGGGUCUUCACCCUUUCCCAUGCUUCUACUCCUCUUUGCACUCCAUCACUCUUCCGUCUCCCUCCUUCACGCAAUCAUCUCUCUCACUAACUUUCUCUCUCUACCUCUUCACACUUUUCUGUCAUCUCCCUCGCCAUCUCUGUGCUCAUUGCAUAGAAAACUGCAGCAUCCAUCUCCAUCUAACUAGCCACUCCGGCAAACCUUGCCACCACCCAAACACUACACUUCCACCCUCGCUCUUUCAUAAUUUUUUUGUCUCUCCCUCUCGGCUUCUUCCUUGACACAGAUAAGCACAUAAGCAACGACGGCAACAGAGCUGUCGAUCUCUGGUGAGGCAACCACCAGCGUCACCUUUCUCUCCUCACUGCAGACUCCUAUUUACCUUUUGCUUUCUGGAAAUCGAAACCGACGUGACGAAAUGACAAGCUCUAUCGCAGCUUGAGUCCCCGGUAAGAUUUUUCGUCGAAUCCAGUAUAGUUUCAACUCAGGGGACAAAUUCCCCUGAUUUCCAGCGAGGGCUAUGAUUUUAGGCUAUCACCAGCCACCUAAUGGCCUUAAAGAAGGUCGCACUGUCGCUGCAUGUGGUACUGUUGUGGAUGGCGCGUGGAGCACAGGCGCCUCCACUGGAAGGAUGACUGCUUGAAAUGAUGAAUAUACGUUUUCAAAUGUUUGUUUUAGAUUGUAGGGUAUUUCAAAUUUGUUUUUUUUAUUUUUUUAUUUUUAAUUUAAUUGAUAGGGCACAAUUACAAAAAUUGUGCUAACAUGAAUAUGAAAUGGCAUCUGGCACAGGUGUCAGAGCAGGGCACAAGAAAAACCUUAUUUGUGCUCAACUCUUUGAGCACACAUGGCCAUAUCGUGCCCUCUAAUCAAUGGUGACACCCAUAGAGGGCGCAAACACAAAGAUAGUAGCUACACUGUUGCUAUUGAUCUAUGAGCAUAAUUGUUGGCGCUUUUUUACCUCAAAGGACACAUAUAAUUUAUUGUGCGCGGUGCUUAUUUUUGUUGUAGUGAAAUGGAACUUGGGAGGUGAAGAUAUUAUCUUUAUCUUCCUAAAGAGAUUGAAAGGAAUCUAUAAGGGGUUUACAACUUUA